rnacentral:rRNA from 1 species
AAUAAUUUAAUUUAACUUUUUCGGCUGUUAGUUAAUUAUUAGGGUUAAAGCUUUAAUUUUAGGUUUAUUAGGUGAAAUUUUAAAUUUAAAAUAAAUGCUAUUUUAAAUGAGGCUAAGAAAUUCUUUAUUUAAACUAGGAUUAGAUACCCUAUUAUUUUGAAUGUAAAUUAUUUUUUUGCUUGAUUAGUAUUAGUUAUUUUCUUGAAAAUUAAAGAUUUUGGCGGUAUUUUAGUCUAUUCAGAGGAACCUGUCCUGUAAUCGAUGGUCCACGAGUGUCGCUACUUUUUUAAAAUGUUUGUAUAUCGUCGUAGUUUGAACAUUUUUUUAGGAAAUUAAUGUUCAUGAUUUUAUUUAUAAAGGAGAUCAGAUCAAGGUGCAGCUAUAGGGAAGGAGAGAUGGGUUACAAUAAAUUUAUUUUAGGAUUGAGGGUUUUAAGCUUUCAUAAAUGCGGAUUUGAGGGUAAUUUUAAUUUAAUAGUUAGUAUGAUUUGGCUCUAAAAUAUGCACAUAUCGCCCGUCGCUUUCAUUACAAGGUGAAAUAAGUCGUAACAUAGUAGUCUUACUGGAAGGUGAGUCUAGACAGAUCAGGUUAGAGCUUGGUAUAAAGCAUUUUAUUUACAUUAAAAGGUUAAUUGUGAGAUUCAAUUUGACUUGAAUUGAGUGAAUUAUUAUUAUUAUUUGGUAAGUUGAUGUUAAAAUAAGAAAAUUAGGAGUUUUAUUAUUGUGUAAGAAUAAAUUUUAUUAAUUUUAGUUUAUUAGUAUUGUGAGAGAAUUUAGUUUUAUGUUUGAAAGAAGAUUUAAUUUUUU